rnacentral:rRNA from 1 species
GACGAACGCUGGCGGCGCGCCUAACACAUGCAAGUCGAACGGAGUCUUUUGGGAGCUUGCUUUUGGAAGACUUAGUGGCGGACGGGUGAGUAACACGUGAGCAACCUGCCUCGGAGUGGGGGAUAACGUCUGGAAACGGACGCUAAUACCGCAUAACAUACCUGAGCGACAUCGCUCGGGUAUCAAAGGAGCAAUCCGCUUUGAGAUGGGCUCGCGCCCGAUUAGGUAGUUGGUAGGGUAACGGCCUACCAAGCCGACGAUCGGUAGCCGGACUGAGAGGUUGAACGGCCACAUUGGGACUGAGACACGGCCCAGACUCCUACGGGAGGCAGCAGUGGGGGAUAUUGCACAAUGGGGGAAACCCUGAUGCAGCGACGCCGCGUGAGUGAAGACGGCCUUCGGGUUGUAAAGCUCUGUCCUCGGGGACGAUAAUGACGGUACCCGAGAAGAAAGCCACGGCUAACUACGUGCCAGCCGCCGCGGUAACAC